rnacentral:rRNA from 1 species
CCUACGGGGGGCUGCAGUGGGGAAUAUUGGACAAUGGGGGCAACCCUGAUCCAGCGACGCCGCGUGUGUGAAGAAGGCCUGCGGGUUGUCAAGCACUUUUAGUGGGGAGGAAGGUCUGCGACCUAACACGUCGUGGAAUUGACUUAACCCACAGAAAAAGCACCGGCUAACUCUGUGCCAGCAGCCGCGGUAAUACAGAGGGUGCAAGCUGUAAUCGGAAUUACUGGGCGUGGUGCGUGAGGAGGGGGUUGAAAGCCCCGGGCUCAACCUGGUAAUUGCAUUCGAGACUGCGAAGCUGGAGUGCGGAAGAGGGAAGUGGAAUUUCCGGUGUAGCGGUGAAAUGCGUAGAUAUCGGAAGGAACAUCAGUGGCGAAAGCGACUUCCUGGUCCAGCACUGACGCUCAGGCACGAAAGCGUGGGGAGCAAACAGGAUUAGAUACCCGGGUAGUC